rnacentral:rRNA from 1 species
ACGAACGCUGGCGGCGUGCUUAACACAUGCAAGUCGAACGGAAAGGCCCUUCGGGGUGCUCGAGUGGCGAACGGGUGAGUAACACGUGGGUGAUCUGCCCUGCACUUCGGGAUAAGCCUGGGAAACUGGGUCUAAUACCGGAUAGGACCGCAUGCUUCAUGGUGUGUGGUGGAAAGCUUUUGCGGUGUGGGAUGGGCCCGCGGCCUAUCAGCUUGUUGGUGGGGUAAUGGCCUACCAAGGCGACGACGGGUAGCCGGCCUGAGAGGGUGUCCGGCCACACUGGGACUGAGAUACGGCCCAGACUCCUACGGGAGGCAGCAGUGGGGAAUAUUGCACAAUGGGCGCAAGCCUGAUGCAGCGACGCCGCGUGGGGGAUGACGGCCUUCGGGUUGUAAACCUCUUUCAGCACAGACGAAGCGCGAGUGACGGUAUGUGCAGAAGAAGCACCGGCCAACUACGUGCCAGCAGCCGCGGUAAUACGUAGGGUGCGAGCGUUGUCCGGAAUUACUGGGCGUAAAGAGCUCGUAGGUGGUUUGUCGCGUUGUUCGUGAAAACUCACAGCUUAACUGUGGGCGUGCGGGCGAUACGGGCAGACUGGAGUACUGCAGGGGAGACUGGAAUUCCUGGUGUAGCGGUGGAAUGCGCAGAUAUCAGGAGGAACACCGGUGGCGAAGGCGGGUCUCUGGGCAGUAACUGACGCUGAGGAGCGAAAGCGUGGGGAGCGAACAGGAUUAGAUACCCUGGUAGUCCACGCCGUAAACGGUGGGUACUAGGUGUGGGUUUCCUUCCUUGGGAUCCGUGCCGUAGCUAACGCAUUAA